GCAUAGGACCUGAUCCAAAGCCCAUUGAAGUCAGUGGAAAGACUCCUAUUGAUUUCAGUGGGCUUUGGAUCUGGCCCAUAUUGC
rnacentral:pre_miRNA from 1 species